rnacentral:rRNA from 1 species
CCUACGGGUGGCAGCAGUGAGGAAUAUUGGUCAAUGGGCGGGAGCCUGAACCAGCCAAGUCGCGUGAGGGAAGACGGUCCUAUGGAUUGUCAACCUCUUUAGGCGGGGAGCAAUGCCGGGCACGCGUGCACGGAGGGAGAGUACCCGCAGAAUAAGCAUCGGAUAACUCCGUGCCAGCAGACGCGGUAAUACGGAGGAUGCGAGCGUUAUCCGGAUUUAUUGGGUGUGAAGGGGGCGUAGGGGGAUUUUUAAAUCAGCGGUAAAAUGUACGUGCUCAACCCGGGCCGGCCGUUGAAACUGGGGAUCUUGAGUUGUCGAGAAGUAUGCGGAAUGCGUGGUGUAGCGGUGAAAUGCAUAGAUAUCACGCAGAACUCCGAUUGCGAAGGCAGCAUACCGGCGCCCGACUGACGCUGAGGCACGAAAGCGUGGGGAUCGAACAGGAUUAGAUACCCCAGUAGUC